GACGAACGCUGGCGGCGUGCUUAACACAUGCAAGUCGAGCGGAAAGGCCACUUCGGUGGUACUCGAGCGGCGAACGGGUGAGUAACACGUGAGUAAUCUGCCCCUCACUUUGGGAUAGCCACCGGAAACGGUGAUUAAUACCGGAUAUGACCAUAUGUCGCAUGGCGUGUGGUGGAAAGUUUUUCGGUGAGGGAUGUGCUCGCGGCCUAUCAGCUUGAUGGUGAGAUAAUGGCUCACCAUGGCUUCGACGGGUAGCCGGCCUGAGAGGGUGACCGGUCACACUGGGACUGAGACACGGCCCAGACUCCUACGGGAGGCAGCAGUGGGGAAUAUUGGACAAUGGGCGGAAGCCUGAUCCAGCAACGCCGCGUGAGGGAUGACGGCCUUCGGGUUGUAAACCUCUUUCAGUACCGACGAAGCGCAAGUGACGGUAGGUACAGAAGAAGCACCGGCCAACUACGUG
rnacentral:rRNA from 1 species